rnacentral:lncRNA from 1 species
AAAUAUUCACAAAAACAUGGAUAAAAUAAUCACAAUGGUGAUUACUUCUUAAGGCUGGGAGGGAGAAGAAAAAAACACCGAAGCAAAUAUAGCAAAAGUAAAAUAUUUGUUAAGUCGGGGUGGGUGCACAGCUGUUCAUUACAAAAGUCUAGGUGCUAUUGUGAAUGUCUGAAACAUUUAAGAGGCUUGUAGAGAAAUAUUUUUUCUUUUAAUAUUUUACUGCACUGAAGAGAAAUACUUUUGACUGAAUUAUCUUCUGGCAUUCUGUAAUUUUUAAUCUCAAAAGAAUCAAUGUGGGCCUGACAAAAAGGGAGAUUUCACUGAUUUUGGCAAGUUCCUAAAAUGUUUUGUCUUCUUUGCACAUCUU